UACAGAGGGUGCGAGCGUUAAUCGGAAUUACUGGGCGUAAAGCGCGCGUAGGCGGCUUUUCAAGUCGAUUGUGAAAUCCCCGGGCUUAACCUGGGAACUGCAUUCGAGACUGCAUUGCUGGAGUACGGAAGAGGAAGGCGGAAUUCCCGGUGUAGCGGUGAAAUGCGUAGAUAUCGGGAGGAACAUCAGUGGCGAAGGCGGCCUUCUGGUCCAGUACUGACACUCAAGUGCGAAAGCGUGGGGAGCAAACAGG
rnacentral:rRNA from 1 species